UUUGAUUCAACGUAAAAUCAUGAAAAAUAAUUUUUUUAUAGAAAAAAAAAAUUCUAGUGGAAUUUUUUAAAAAGUUUUGUAAUAUUUGGUUUGUAGGAAAACAAUACAGUUUUCUAUCAAUAUUUAUUUUUUUGAAAGAAAAAAAAAUUUACACCGACCGUCUCUAGAGCAAGUGGAAAAAGGUUUGAUGGUUGGUACCCGAGGUCCCAAUUCAAAUCCUAGUUGAUUCACAUUUAUAGCUAAGUUUAUUUCUAAUGAAAUAAACGAAGCAGGUAGCGUGCUACUCAUCUUUCUUUAAAAAAAAAAAAAGAAAAAAAUUUGCAUCUGUUUGGUUUAGUGAAAAAAUAAAUGAAAAAGUUUUAUGUAAUUUGAAUUUUUGUUUUUUUUGCCAAAAAACAGUGAAAAAUGAUUUUUGUUUUUUUCGCGAAAAUACUUCUACGGAAAGAAUAAUUUUAGGUCCAACUAAACAAGUGAAAAAAAUAUUUUUUUUAUACCGAAAAUAAUUGUUUGAUUU
rnacentral:lncRNA from 1 species